rnacentral:rRNA from 1 species
UACGAAGGGGGCUAGCGUUGCUCGGAAUCACUGGGCGUAAAGGGUGCGUAGGCGGGUCUUUUAAGUCAGGGGUGAAAUCCUGGAGCUCAACUCCAGAACUGCCUUUGAUACUGAGGAUCUUGAGUCCGGGAGAGGUGAGUGGAACUGCGAGUGUAGAGGUGAAAUUCGUAGAUAUUCGCAAGCACACCAGUGGCGAAGGCGGCUCACUGGCCCGGUACUGACGCUGAGGCACGAAAGCGUGGGGAGCAAACAGG